UGUGGAUUAGCGACGGAGGUCUUCAACGGUGGAGUAGCGACGGAGGGUCGAUGGCUGAACGGAGGUCUUCAACUGUGGAGUAGCGACGGAGGGUCGAUGGCUUAACGGAGGUCUUCGACUGUAGAGUAGCGACAGAGGGUCGAUGGCUGAACGGAGGUCUUCGACUGUGGAGUAGCGACAGAGGGUCGAUGGCUGAACGGAGGUCUUCGACUGUGGAGCGGCGGCGGCUUUUUUUUUUUUGAGAAAGAGGGUUCGUGACUGAAAUGGGGAGAGUGUAAAACAUUAAAAUCAU
rnacentral:lncRNA from 1 species